rnacentral:siRNA from 1 species
AGCAGAGUAAUGGUCAUACCAGUA